CCUACGGGAGGCAGCAGUGAGGAAUAUUGGUCAAUGGGCGCAAGCCUGAACCAGCCAAGUAGCGUGAAGGAUGACUGCCCUACGGGUUGUAAACUUCUUUUAUAAGGGAAUAAAGUGCGUCCCGUGUGCCUUUUUGUAUGUACUUUCUGAAUAAGGAUCGGCUAAAUCCGUGCCAGCAGCCGCGGUAAUACGGAGGAUCCGGGCGUUAUCCGGAUUUAUUGGGUUUAAAGGGAGCGUAGAUGGGUUGUUAAGCCAGCUGUGAAAGUUUGCGGCUCAACCGGAAAAUUGCAAUUGAUACUGGCAGCCUUGAGUACAGUUGAGGUAGGCGGAAUUCGUGGUGUAGCGGUGAAAUGCUUAGAUAUGACGAAGAACCCCGAUUGCGAAGGCAGCUUACUAAACUGCAACUGACAUUGAUGCUCGAAAGUGUGGGUAUCAAACAGGAUUAGAUACCCCUGUAGUC
rnacentral:rRNA from 1 species